rnacentral:pre_miRNA from 1 species
UGGACAGAUUAUUGUAUUCAACUAUAUUCAUGACGUAAAAUAGGAAAUUACAUUAUUUUUAAAAGGAAUGUGAAUCAAUUAACAUAAUAGACUCCU